GUUCGAUCUCAAAUCAGGUAGGACUACCC
rnacentral:rRNA from 2 species